rnacentral:rRNA from 1 species
AUUGAACGCUGGCGGCAUGCCUUACACAUGCAAGUCGAACGGCAGCGCGGGGCAACCUGGCGGCGAGUGGCGAACGGGUGAGUAAUAUAUCGGAACAUACCCUAGAGUGGGGGAUAACGUAGCGAAAGUUACGCUAAUACCGCAUACGCACUAAGGUGGAAAGUGGGGGAUCUUCGGACCUCAUGCUCAUGGAGUGGCCGAUAUCUGAUUAGCUAGUUGGUGAGGUAAAGGGCUCACCAAGGCGACGAUCAGUAGCUGGUUUGAGAGAACGACCAGCCACACUGGAACUGAGACACGGUCCAGACUCCUACGGGAGGCAGCAGUGGGGAAUUUUGGACAAUGGGGGGCAACCCUGAUCCAGCAAUGCCGCGUGAGUGAAGAAGGCUUUCGGGUUGUAAAGCUCUUUGUCAGGGAAGAAACGGUGAGUUCUAAUAAAGCUUGCUAAUGACGGUACCUGAAGAAUAAGCACCGGCUAACUACGUGCCAGCAGCCGCGGUAAU